UACGGAAGGGGCAAGCGUUGUUCGGAAUCAUUGGGCGUAAAGGGCGCGUAGGUGGUUCUGUAUGUCUGUCGUGAAAGCGUACGGCUCAACCGUAUUUUGUCGGUAGAAACUGCAGGACUUGAGGCUGGGAGGGGCUGGUGGAAUUCCCUGUGUAGCGGUGAAAUGCGUAGAGAUGGGGGAGAACACUCGUGGCGAAGGCGGCCAGCUAGACCAGUUCUGACACUGAGGCGCGACAGCGUGGGGAGCAAACAGG
rnacentral:rRNA from 1 species